AUGGUGAGCUAACUGGGUAAUUGCAGUCCAUGCAGUUGUUUCUUGGCCGCCACCUUGAGUCCCUGUGCUAACAAAGAACCCAGCAGGCUUCCCUGCAAGCUUCUGGUCCUUCCAGAGCUGCCCCGUCGAAUCAAAGAACGCUUUCAUUUGCGCUGCCAUACACCCAAACCUGGUGGGAAAGCCAAACAAAAUACCAUCAGCAGCCACUAAUUCAGCGGCUGAAAUCUCGGGGAUGGACGCGUCCUUGGGCGGCGCUUUCAUCUGGUCCAGAACCUCCGCCGGCAAGGUUUCCGGUACCCGAUACAAAAUCCCCUCAAACCCAUCAACCCCAUCAACCCCCUUCUUCAUCUUCUUCGCCAAGCUUUCGACAUGACCAUACAUGGAGUAAAACACUAUGAAUAUCUUCAAUUUCUCAACUGGAUGCGAUAAAGAGACAGAGACUUCGGAAGUGGCAUUACCCGAUGAACCAAUCUGUGCGUGAUCUUCUUCAAUUGAGAUCGGAGCAGUUACAUCGGUGUCGCGAGGCCUUGCAUCAUCGGUGGCUUCGGCGGCAAUAGACGAAGGCACCUUCUUCUUGCUCGGGACACAACCCCCUCCCUUCCCCAUAAAGAAUAGGAAAUUCUGGAAUGAUGGUAAGUGAAAAAUGGUUGGGGGAGGGAGAAAAU
rnacentral:misc_RNA from 1 species